AUGAACCGACCACCAAGGAACUCAGCAGACAGGAGGCAAUGCUGGAUGGCAUCAGCCAGCCAGCGAGAUUGUUUUGAGGGCUCUCGCCUUGUGGUGUUCCGGGGGACCAGGGGAGGUCGUUCCGGAGCGAGCGGGCGAGAGGAGGAGCCCCAGAGGUCCCCACCUACCCAGCUGCCGGCGAUCCCGGAGGGUCGUGUCCUGGCCGUGACAACCCUGGGGGGUCAGGCAAGCCCCUCCCAGAGUCCUGAGGUGCCCUCCUCAGCCAGCAGUCUCCCCAUGAAACGAGGGAGACGGUUUUCAUGGGAGUCAACUUCUGAGUCUUCGGCGUCCGAGACUGCCCUGCCCGAGACCAAACUCCCCCAACCCGCCUCUGACCCAGCUGUGGCCUCUGCACCGCGCCCAAGGAGGAAGAGGAGGAAGAGGGGGCCUGCCGGUCCUGUGACCCUGUCUCCUCCCGUGCCAGCAGCGGAGAGCGCUGGCGUGCCCGUGCCAGCAGCGGAGAGCGCUGGCGUGCCCGUGCCAGCAGCGGAGAGCGCUGGCGUGCCCGUGCCAGCAGCGGAGGGCGUUCCCGUGCUAGACCCAGCAGCGGUGAGCGUUCCCGUGCUAGACCCAGCAGCGGUGAGCGUGCCCGAGCCAGCAGCGGAGAGAGCUGGCGUGCCCGAGCCAGCAGCGGAGAGAGCUGGCGUGCCCGUGCCAGCAGCGGUGAGCGCUGGCGUGCCCGAGCCGGCAAAGAAGAGGGCAGUAUGCAAGUCGGCAGUCGUGAGAGCGCAGGAGAGUGCCGCGGCCGACUCUGCAGCAAAGACUUUAGUUCAGUGCAUUUCAUCUCCUAAGGAGAUGCCAAUUGUCCUAGCUGCUAAAGCAUUUUCUGAUUAUUUGUCCCGUCUUGUCCAAAUUUUAGAAGUCCCCGUCAGUCCUGUCUUGUCCCCUGACCCUGUCCCCAGAAGUCCCAAAUGUCCAGCCGUUGUCUCCCCGUGUCCUGUUGAUGUGGCCCCGUGUCCUGUUGAUGUGGUCCCCCCCGUGUCCAGUAGAUGUGGUCCCCCCCGUGUCCAGUAG
rnacentral:lncRNA from 1 species